rnacentral:misc_RNA from 1 species
UCUCCGUUGGUGAACCAGCGGAGGGAUCAUUACAGAGUUGCAAAACUCCCAAACCAUUGUGAACGUUACCUAUCCCGUUGCUUCGGCGGGCGGCCCGGGCCCCGCGCCCGGCGCCCCCCGGCCCCCCGUGGGCGCCCGCCGGAGGUAAACCAAACCCUUGCACUGCAUGGCCUCUCUGCGUCUUCUGUACUGAAUAAGUCAAAACUUUCAACAACGGAUCUCUUGGUUCUG